rnacentral:lncRNA from 1 species
CGUAUUCUCAAUCAAUUGUCUAUCCAACUUCCCUGGAAGCAAGAUCAAUUAACGGAACGAAAGCAAUUAAACUUAAUGACGAGAUCACCCUGAAUCUAGUGCCCACUGAUGUCCUUUCCAAUACGUUUGUGCUUUCAACUGCCACGAAGCUCAAUCUUGAACACAAGGAAAUUGAUACGACGAGUAUUGGGCAAACAAUAUACCACGACGAAACUUUCAUGGCGGCUGUUUCUAUGCGAGAUGUCAACGGAACGAUUGAAAUGACAGGAAUGAUAGGCGAAAGAAUGCGCAUAGAACCACUUCCAUUUUUGGGCCGGACAUUAAAUGGCUCAAGACCUCAUCGCUUAUUUAAUGCGAAGAAUAUAUUAGCCCGAGAUGACGUCAGAGUGCCCGGAAGUGUAAAUAUCACGAGUAGGAGUGACACGAGAAAGAAGCCCUUUCAGCGUUUCUCUAACUACGCCGUUGUGGAAGUUUAUGUAUUAAUCGACGUACUAUUCUCGGCCCACUUCCCCAAAGAUGCCGACGCGAUCAACUACAUGGCCGUGACUAUA